AUGGGGGAGCUACGGGCAGCAUCUGCCCCACAGGCAGCAAUGACCUGCUGCAAUAACCACCGGGCUCCCCAUUUUCCAGAGACCCACUCAAGUGACAGCAGAUACCAAGGGGACACGUUUGGCCACGGCCAACUGCACGGAAAGCUGCGAGCACGAGUCUUCUUCUCUAGGGUUUUCCCCUGCAUUUCCCUUUUCUGCCUCUCAGCACCUCCAGCUUGCCUCUUGGCAUCCCUCCCACAUCAGGCGCCGCUUGCUCCCAGUGACGCCGCCACGGCCCAUAAAGAGGAGGCAGCAGGCAUCACCGUGCGAGCUCGGAGGUGCACCACGGGGCCACCAGACCCCCUGGAGGAGAAGCUGUCACCCCAGCAGGCUCAGCCACUGCUCCUUCUCCUUUCCACCUUUACCAGGAAAAUCCACGUCCAAGGCUCAGCACCGAGCCCUCUCUCGUCCCGCUCCUGGAUGGAGGUCCAGCUCCUAACCACCACCCUGGGGGGGCCAGGACAGUGGACACCCAUCGGGGACCCCCCCAACAAGGCGAUCCCCUGGCUGGCUGCGGGUCGGUGUGCUCCCAUGGGGCAGCAUGCAAAGGUCGUGGAGCUGCUGCGCCAGGACCUGCAGCACCGGGACCUGCAGGCGGGCUCCCUGGUGGUGAGCACCCCAAGGCUGGCCGGAGGGGUGAGGACGACCUGGAGCACAAGUGCUGGAGACCAGGGCAGGGGGCUUGGUAUCCUGUUUCUGUCCAUAAUGCUGCCAGCAGAUAAUUUCCAAGAGAAUUCAGAGUGAGAGCAAAUCACAGAAUCACAGAAUUUCUAGGUUGGAAACAACAUUUCAUUUAAAAUAAACCGGUCAAAAUUUUGGGUGUUGAAUUUCA
rnacentral:lncRNA from 1 species